GGGUUGUGAGGUUAAGCGACUAAGCGUACACGGUGGAUGCCCUGGCAGUCAGAGGCGAUGAAGGACGUGCUAAUCUGCGAUAAGCGUCGGUGAGGUGAUAUGAACCGUUAUAACCGGCGAUUUCCGAAUGGGGAAACCCAGUGUGUUUCGACACACUAUCAUUAACUGAAUCCAUAGGUUAAUGAGGCGAACCGGGGGAACUGAAACAUCUAAGUACCCCGAGGAAAAGAAAUCAACCGAGAUUCCCCCAGUAGCGGCGAGCGAACGGGGAGCAGCCCAGAGCCUGAAUCAGUGUGUGUGUUAGUGGAAGCGUCUGGAAAGGCGCGCGAUACAGGGUGACAGCCCCGUACACAAAAAUGCACAUGCUGUGAGCUCGAUGAGUAGGGCGGGACACGUGGUAUCCUGUCUGAAUAUGGGGGGACCAUCCUCCAAGGCUAAAUACUCCUGACUGACCGAUAGUGAACCAGUACCGUGAGGGAAAGGCGAAAAGAACCCCGGCGAGGGGAGUGAAAAAGAACCUGAAACCGUGUACGUACAAGCAGUGGGAGCCUCUUUAUGGGGUGACUGCGUACCUUUUGUAUAAUGGGUCAGCGACUUAUAU
rnacentral:rRNA from 1 species